ensembl:lncRNA
CACACAAUUGAUAGGCUUGGAAACAGCAUAAAAUGGUUUGAGAAAUUUAUUUAAGUCAUUAUCUAUAGAGCUAAAGCAUUUCUAACAUCAUAGAAUGCUUUCAUCAGAAGAGAAAAGCACUAAGCUAAUGAUUUCAACCAUUCAUUUCCUGGAAGGUUUUAGGAUUUAUUAAAUGACAUUGGUUUAUAAUAUCAUACAGAAAUGGUGUGUUUACCUAUUAUUAACACGAAUGUAUCUGCACUACUAGUCAAAAAUAUUAAUCACAUUGAUUAUCCUUAAGCCAUUUCUAGUUCAUUAUAAUUAAGGCAUAGGUAUUAAUUUUCCAAGUAUUCAAUAAGACUGCUUGUCAAAUUAAAAAACAAUCAAUAAAUUCUACAAAGUGAUGAAACAAAAUCAUUUAACAUAAUUGGAUGUUCUCAUGGACCACAUUAACAUUAAUCUCAAGGAUAGAUUAAGAAUCAAUGUGACUUACUGUGUCAUCAGAAAUCCUGGUUCUGCCAGUAAACACUCCUUAAAUCCACCAAAGUGAUCUAAUUGUGCCCUGUGGAACACUGUUUAUGUCACUAUGUAGGAAAAAAUUCAGUUUUUCCUCAACUCUCACACUCUUCCCACCCUCACAACACCUCAGACAUCAAAUGUGCAUUGGUUUUCCCUACACCAAGCAAUACUGUGACACCAGCUGGGUGUGCUGCCAUUUAACUCAAUUCUGACACUAUCUCCCUGAAGAUAGCACCAGAUCCAAUAGAUGAAGGGCUCAGGCCUACAAGACUGUCCUCCACUCAGAGGCCACUGACAAGUCUUAAGUUACCCAUAACUUUGACUUGGCCACUAACUGAAGUUCCCAUGAUCUCCCCACCCGCUUGGAUUUGAUUAUUUGCUAGAGAAGCUCACAGAACUCAGGGAAACACUUGUUUAUGAGUUUAUUAAAGGAUAUGAAAAAAGAGCCAGAUGAAGAAAUACAUAGGACAAGGUCUAGGAGGGUUCCGAGCACUGAAGCUUCUGUCUCUGUGGAGCUGGGGUGUGACACUCUCCUGGUACUUGGAAAUGUUCAUCUAUCUACCUGGAAGCUCUCCAAAUCCCAUACUUUUGGGAUUCUUAUGCAGGCUUCCUCAUGUAAGCAUAAUCAAUGAUUAACCCCAUUUGUAGACCCUCUCCCUUCUCUGAAGAAUGAGGGGUGGGCAGAUAAUUCAGACCAUUAGUCAAAUUCUAAAUAUGCUCUUGCCUUUAUGGAGACCAGCCCUCACCCAGGAGCCAACCAGAGUCACCUCAUUCCAGCAAAAGACAUUCCUGUCACCCAGCAAGUUCCAAGCGAUUCAGGAGCUCUGUGUUAGGCACAGGGUCAAAGACCAAAGAGGACAACAAAAGAUGCUCCUGGUGCUCUUACUAGUUAGGAGAUUUACAAGGGUUUCAGGAGCCCUGUGUCAGAAACCAGCCUAUAUAUAUAUUACAUAUAUUCCUUAUUAUUUCAGUCAUUCAUAACAGGACUCUCCAAGUCAUUUGAUUUUUCACACUCUAUUGUCCCAGAGAACAGUAUGCAUACAUAAUUUUAUCCCUUUUAUCACUCAUCCCUCCACUCCUGAAAACAUUGUGUCCCGAGUCCAUUUUCGGCAAAAUCCUUCUGUCCUAAAAUUAGCUUCUGAAUGUCCCUUUCCCUUUCUUACUCUAACACAACAUUAUUCUCCUUUGUUUUUCUGUGAUGGCAGAUUCACCUCCCACAGGCUUUUAAAUAAUAAAUUAGCUAUAUACAAAGAAGGAGUAGAAAAACACAUACAUAUAUAAAAACACUAAUAAACAUUUGGCUUAGAAAAUCUUCACAAAUGAAGCAACUGAUAAGGGAUUAACCUCCAAGAUAUGUAAAUGUCUCAUGCAGAUUUAUAUUUUAAGAAACCCCAAUCAAAAAAUGGACAGUAGACCUAAAGAGACAUUUCUCCAAAGAAAACAAAAGGAUGGACAAAAUCCCAUGAAAAGAUGUUCAAUACCCCCAAUCAUUAGAGAAAUGCAAAGUAAACUACAAUGAGGUAUCACCUCACAACCAAUAAGAAUUGCCCUCAUCAAAAAGUCUAGACAAUAAAUUCUAGAGAGGGUGUUGAGGAAAGAGAACCCUUCCCACACUGUUGGUGAGAAUGUAAAUUGGUGCAACCACUGUGGAAAACAGUACAGAGUUUCCCUAAAAAAAAAAAAAACAAAAACUAAAUAUAGAACUACCAUAUGAUAUGACCCAGCAAUCCCACUCCUGAGCAUAUAUAUCCAGAGAAAACCAUAAUUUGAAAAGAUAGAUACACACCAGUGUUCAUUGCAGCACUAUUUACAAUAGCCAAGAAAUGGAAGCAACCAGAAUGUCCAUCAAGAAAAAACUGGAUCAAGAAGCUGUGGUACAUAUAUAAAAUGGAAUAUUACCCAACCACAGAAAAAGAAUGAAAUAACACCAUUUGCAGAAACAUGGAUGAACCUAAAGAUUAUACUGAAUGAAGUAAAUCAGAGAAAGACAAAUAUCAUGAUAUCACCUAUGUGUGGAAUCCCGUUAAAAAUGAUACAAUAAAAUUUAUAAAACAAACUCACAGAUUUCUAAACUUAUGGUUAACAAAGGAGAAACUGUGGGAGGGGGAUGGAUCAAUUGAGGGGGUGGGAUUAACACAUGCAUAUACACACUACUAUAUAUAAAAUACAUAACAAAAGGACCCACUGUAUAGCACAUGCAGGUCUAUCCAAUGUUCUGUAAUACCCUAUAUGGGGGAAAAGAAUAGAUAUAUGUAUAACUGAUUCACUUUCCUGUACACCUGAAGCUAAUACAACAUUGUAAGUCAACUAUACUCCAAAUCACUAAACGCAAAUUCAGUAUAAUCUUAACUCAGCCUCACUUGGUCAGACCUCAGAAAUGCCUGUGGCCAUCCAACCAAAGGGCAAGUGUGGCAGAGAUGAGGUUAGAUUGGCAGACAGUAGUUUUCACUGAUUGUGCCCCAAAAUAGUCUACGUUUGCAAAUAUUGCAAAAGCAUAUGCCCCCAUGAACACAUUGCUGGAACCCCUCCCAGGGGAUCAGCUCCUGAAGUCAAGGGGCCCUGGAACACAAGUUAGAUGUGCUUCUUGAGAAACCUCUGCUGCUUGCAAACCCCUUUCAUCUCAUUCCCUCUAGUAACUCGACCACAGACCCUCUAUUGAAAAAUUCCUCAAGCUUUUUUUUUUUGUAGUUACCUCCCCCUCUGAUGUGCUCUCAGAUAUACUCCAAUUCAUCACAUUGGAAAUGCACUGUUAGUUCUCAGGCCUCUUCCUUACUGACAGAACCAUAGCAUUUAUCACAGCUGAAAAUUCUCUCCCACAUGUCACAAUUUGUUUGCAUAGCUCCAAAAAGAACAUUCUGUGUUUUACGCCUAGUUGAUUGCUGGUUCCGCCUCCAUAGCUUUCGCUCAUUCCCACUUCUGAACACUGGAAUGCCUGGGUCUUACUGAUUCAUUGAGUGAGACCUCUGAUCAUCUCAUUCAGUCAUCCUUUAAAUGCCCUUCAGAUGGUGCAUUCGUUGACCAAGGCUGCUCUAACAAAAUACCUCAUACUGGGCAACAGAAACUUCAGUUCUGGUGGCCGGAAGUCCAAGAUCCAGGUGUUUGGCAUGCUUGGAGUCUUUCAAGAACCCUCUUCUUGGCUUGUAGAUGGCCGUCUUCUCGUGUCUUUACAUGGUCACUCUGCAUGUUCACCCCUGCUGUCAGCUUGUGUGUCCCAAUUUCCUUUUCUUGUAAGGAUACCACUUCUGUCACAUUAGGUUAAAGUGAGGGCCUGGGGGCAGGGGUACCUACCCACCUCUUGAAAGGCUCCAUCUCCAAGUUCAGUCACCUUCUGAGUCUUAGGAAUCAGAGUUCCAACAUAGGAAUUUGGGGGUGGAGGACAAUAUUCAGUCCUUAGGAGAUGGUUACUCCAAAAUUGCUUCUUCCUGGUCAAGGCUUCUCUCUCAAAAACUCUAGCUUUGUAUAUUCAAUAGCCGAGACAACUCUACUUAAAUGUCUUUUCAGCAUCUUGAAAUCAAUCGUCUAAUAAACCUAGCUCCUAAAGUUUCUCCUGCAAAGCUGAUCCACCUACAACCACCACAGCCAGGUGCCUCCAUCACAACCUUCCCCUGCUCCAUCUUGGAGCCUCACUUGCUUUUUUCCACUCUUCCAUUGCUCUGGUUUUAAAAAAUGAACCCUUGGAAUAAUUCUUGACCCUCUCUUUAAGAGCCCACAUUCAAUCCACUGAUUUCCCAUUCAGGUGACACUCAAAACCUGACCAUUUAACGUCCUCUUUAUCACUACAUCAUCUCCUGCCUGAAUGACUGCAGGAUGGUUUCCCAAGAGGUGGCCUCUUUCUACACUUGCCCCUUUAUUGUCUAUCCUCAUCACAGAAGCCAGAGUGACUCUUCAGACUAAAGUCAGACUAUUUACUCCCCUGCUCAAGGCCCUUCAAUGGCUUGACAUUUCAAGUCAAAGCAAAUGUUCCUAUAAUGGACUACAAGGUCAUGCAUGGUCUGAGUCCUACUCCACAUCCCGUAACUCUGACCAACUUCUGUUCUUCCCACCCUGGCUUACUCCACUUCAGCCAAACUGGAGUUCCCGUCGUGGCGCAGUGGUUAACGAAUCCGACUAGGAACCAUGAGGUUGCAAGUUCGGUCCCUGCCCUUGCUCAAUGGGUUAACUAUCCGGCCUCGCAGUGAGCUGUGGUGUAGGUUGCAGACACGGCUCGGAUCCUGCAUUGCUGUGGCUCUGGCGUAAGCCAGUGGCUACUGCUCCGAUUAGACCCCUAGCCUGGGAACCUCCAUAUGCCACGGGAGCGGCCCAAAGAAAU